rfam:Candidatus Brennerbacteria bacterium RIFOXYD1_FTLL_41_16 rifoxyd1_full_scaffold_52, whole genome shotgun sequence.
UGGGAGGUCGUCUAAUGGUAGGACGUCAGGUUCUGGCCCUGAAAAUUGGGGUUCGACUCCCUGCCUCCCAG